AAUCAACCAUUUGACGAGACACUCAACAAAAAUCAUGGUUGUGUCACCAAUAGUCUUGCGCCCGUCAAGAGGUGCCUUCAUUUU
rnacentral:misc_RNA from 1 species